rnacentral:rRNA from 1 species
AACGAAUGCUGGCGGCAGGCUUAACACAUGCAAGUCGAGCGGGCAUAGCAAUAUGUCAGCGGCAGACGGGUGAGUAACGCGUGGGAACGUACCUUUUGGUUCGGAACAACACAAGGAAACUUGUGCUAAUACCGGAUAAGCCCUUACGGGGAAAGAUUUAUCGCCGAAAGAUCGGCCCGCGUCUGAUUAGCUAGUUGGUGAGGUAAUGGCUCACCAAGGCGACGAUCAGUAGCUGGUCUGAGAGGAUGAUCAGCCACAUUGGGACUGAGACACGGCCCAAACUCCUACGGGAGGCAGCAGUGGGGAAUAUUGGACAAUGGGCGCAAGCCUGAUCCAGCCAUGCCGCGUGAGUGAUGAAGGCCCUAGGGUUGUAAAGCUCUUUUGUGCGGGAAGAUAAUGACGGUACCGCAAGAAUAAGCCCCGGCUAACUUCGUGCCAGCCGCCGCCGUAA